rnacentral:tRNA from 1 species
AGGAUUAUAAUUAAUUAUAAUAUUUGAUUUGCAUUCAAAAAGUGCUAAAUCUAGCUAAUCUUA